rnacentral:rRNA from 1 species
GAUGAACGCUAGCUACAGGCUUAACGCAUGCAAGUCGAGGGACCGGCGCACGGGUGAGUAACACGUAUCCAACCUGCCCUUUACUCGGGGCUAGCCUUUCGAAAGAAAGAUUAAUACCCGAUAUCAAGGAUGGGGAUGCGUUCCAUUAGGUUGUUGGUGAGGUAACGGCCCACCAAGCAUUAGAUGGCUAGGGGUUCUGAGAGGAAGGUCCCACACAAUGGAACUGAGACACGGUCCAAACUCCGACGGGAGGCAGCAGUGAGGAAUAUUGGUCAAUGGGCGCUAGCCUGAACCAGCCAAGUAGCGUGAAGGAUGAAGGCUUAUGGGUCGUAAACUUCUUUUAUAUAAGAAUAUGUAUUAUAUGAAUAAGGAUCAGCUAACUCCGUGCCAGCAGCCGCGGUAAUUC